rnacentral:rRNA from 1 species
UUAAAUUGAAGAGUUUGAUCAUGGCUCAGAUUGAACGCUGGCGGCAGGCCUAACACAUGCAAGUAGAACGGUAACAGGAAGCAGCUUCCUCCUU